GGGAUCUUCCCGGACCGGGGCACGAACCCGCGUCGCCUGCAUCGGCAGGCGGACUCUCAACCACUGCGCCACCAGGGAAGAAGCCCUGUCAAAUGAGAAUUUUAAACACUGGGUUUAACAGACAGAGGCCCCUUCUAAGUACUUUACAAUUAUUAACUCAUUUAAUGCUCACGACAACCCUAUGAAGUGGGUGCUAUUAGUCCCGUUUUGUAGCAGGGGAAACUGAGGCACAGGGAGGCUAAGCAAGCUGCCCAAGGUCACAGCCGGCUGGGGGCGGGCGAGAUUCUACCUCGUGCCGUCCUGCACCGGACUAGGUGGGUAGGCUUCCCUAUACUGGUGGGGUCUUGAAUUUGGGAUCUUGUCCGUCCUCCCCCAUCAGGAUGUGAGCUCUGGGUGGGGGCACCUCGUCUGGUGCACACAGGCAUUUAAUGAACAUUGUGGAAUCAAGAAGGGAUGAGUGGAUAUCUUAGGAUGGCCACAUCCCUUCGUGACCGCCUGCGCCCUCCUGCCGUGCUCUGCUCGGGGAAUUCUAUUCGUGGUCAAGACGUUUAGUCCCAGUAAACUCGAUCCUCGGGGCGAGGGGGGACCCCAAGGAAAUGACCAGCUUGGGCUGAGUCAGGACGGAGAAGAAUCCGCUCACAGCGGGGCACGGGCGCCACCUGGCGGGGGAGUUCUGCUAAGACAGAGCCGCUGGGAGACCCGGAACGUUUGCUUUGGGUGAAGUGGAAUCGACAUCUGAAAGGGAGUUGAUAUCGGGUGUUAUUAGUGGGCGGUCGUCUGAAAAUCAGUGUAUGAUGAUGGGUGCCAUCUACCAGUGGCUUCCAAACUUUUCUGGCCGUGACGCGCAGUAAGAAAUCAUUUCACCUUAACAUGGUUUCAUCAAAUACCACCCUGUACUGCAUGAUGUUUUUUAUUCUACUGUAUUCCUAUUUUUAAAUGUUAGUCAGAUCCCCUGAUCACACCUCCAGGGACUCCCCCUCUGACUUCAAGAUGAACGGAGCUCAGAGAGGUGAAGACACUUGUCCAAAUCCACACAGGUUGUAUGCGACAGUGCCAGUUUCUGCCUCAGUCCUAAAGCACAGAAAUCACUAAAUGCUCCAAAUUUCACUGCUAUUGAGUACAAUUUAAUUUAGUCCUUUCUCCAUUUUGCCAGUAAGAUUGAGCUGCACUGGUCUGCUGUUUUCUUAUUACUGUAUAAUGUAAAUGAAUGACAUUCCCGAGCUCAGGCUUAAAAAAUGCAAGUCUUCUUAUGUUACAAAAUGAAUCUGAGACAGCAAUAAAGAACCUACAUUGAGGUGGCACUCGCAGCAUCAUUGCCAACACCACUGUUACCAUCACCACCAUCACCAUCGUCACCACGGUCGUCAUCAUAACCGUCACAUCCCCUUCUCUGUCACCGUCAGCAUCACAUCGUGAUCAUCAUCACUGUCACCACCUUCAUUCACCAUCAUCAUCGCCAUCCCCACUACGGCCAUCACCAACAUCACCACUGUCACCGCCACAAAAAUCGCCCCCACUUGAAAGCAGGUAUCAGCAGCCCACACUUUUUGUCUCCUAGCUACAGCCUUGGCCCAGCAAGCCUGCGUCCUCCAUCUCUCUCUCCACCCUGAGCCACAGGGGAUGUGACUGUGACCCCGAGGGUAGUGCUGUCUUACUUGGGAACCAAGAGGAUUCUGGGUUUGAUUCUCCGGCUUUUCUUUAAGUGACUUCAGUUCUCUUCUGAGCUUGUUGCCACAAGGUUGACCAUCCAUAGAUGGUGAGCCCAGCCCCUGGACCAGGGGAGGCUCUGCCCAGUGUAGCUCUAGGACCCUUGAGGUGGCUGAGACUCGGGGUGGGGUGUUUAAGGCUGAACGCCUCCUGCUAUAGGGGUUUGAGACCACUUUGGGAGGGGAGACCUGAGGGUCUGUGUUCUCUGUACUCAUUGUCCUGUCUUAGGAGAGAAAGAGGAAGUCCCUCUGGGAUGGCAAACAGGGCCGGUCGUCAUGACUCUGCCCCCCGCCAAGAUGAGACUUCCCAGGUCCCAAAGGAGAAAGUGAGAAUGACAGCCUAACUUCCAGAAGUCCCAUCCUAGGGAGUUGCCAUUUCCAUCGCCUUCCUGAAAUACCCGUUUUUAAAUUUCUUGUUCACUGUUAUAUCCCCAGAGCCUAGUACCCUGUAUGGCACAUAGUAAGUACUCAAUAAAUGUUUGUCAAAUCAACGGGAAAAGAGAUGGAGAGUCCCCCUCCCCUGCAACUGUUAGGGAAGAGAUGGGAUUCUGCAUCGUAUCAUUAAUUCAAAGGAUCUGAUUUGAUACGGUGUGAAGGGGAGAACUUUUACAAAAUUAUUAACUUUGUACUGUGCACUAGAGAGACUUCGAAAAUUAAUAAUUGACUCCAACAUCUCCUGUUCCUUACGAAUAUUUCUCAGAAGUGAUUUCAACAAAAAUGUUUUCUACCAUGCCCCAAACUGUAGGAGUUGUGGUCAGGUCCAGUGACUAUUCCCUCCAGAAGAAGGCUUUCACCCUGCCGGGUUGUCUUGAUCAUUUGCGGCCCUGCUUUUAACAUCCUGCCUGUAAACUGAAUAAAUACAGAACUAGUGAGCCCACGUUUGUACUAAAUUAGCAAACGGUGCCAGGCCCACCGAUGACAACUUCCGGGAUGGCUGAGAGUAGAAGGUGGCGACCCCUGCUCGCAGCCCCGACAACACACAGGCGAGAGUCACCUCCAAUUUUGUCCCAUUUUUUGAGUCCAAUUUUGAAGAUGGUUUUGUGUUCUUAAAGCAUUCUUAUAAAGCCUGUGUGUUGAACUGCAUUUGUGAGAACAAAAUGAGUUCUAGGUCCCUUAUUUUUCUUUAAUACUUUCUUUCUGUUGUUACUAUUUAUAUUGUUUGUAUGUCUUGAUAAAAGCUAAUUAAUCAACGACGUGGUGGGCAAUUUGGAGUUUUUUUCUUUCCUGUGCAAUGUUGAGGUAGCAAGGUUGACAUGCUGCUUUCAGUCCCCUCUCUUGAGAUAUGAAGAAUUCCAAAAUAUAAAUUAAAAAAUUUUAAACGUA